GACGAACGCUGGCGGCGUGCCUAAUACAUGCAAGUAGAACGCACAGUUUAUACCGUAGCUUGCUACACCAUAUACUGUGAGUUGCGAACGGGUGAGUAACGCGUAGGUAACCUGCCUGGUAGCGGGGGAUAACUAUUGGAAACGAUAGCUAAUACCGCAUAAUAUUGAUUAUUGCAUGAUAAUUGAUUGAAAGAUGCUAUUGCAUCACUACCAGAUGGACCUGCGUUGUAUUAGCUAGUAGGUGAGGUAACGGCUCACCUAGGCGACGAUACAUAGCCGACCUGCGAGGGUGAGCGGCCAAGCUGGGACUGAGACACGGCCCAGACUCCUACGGGAGGCAGCAGUAGGGAAUCUUCGGCAAUGGACGAAAGUCUGAACGAGCAACGCCGCGUGAGAGAAGAAGGUUUUCGGAUCGUAAAGCUCUGUUGUAAGAGAAGAACGGGUGGGAGAGUGGAAUGUUCACACUGUGACGGUAUCUUACCAGAAAGGGACGGCUAACUACGUG
rnacentral:rRNA from 1 species